rnacentral:rRNA from 1 species
CAGUAGCCACGGGAAUACGAAGGGUGCAAGCGUUACUCGGAAUUACUGGGCGUAAAGCGUGCGUAGGUGGUGGAUUAAGUCCGUUGUGAAAGCCCUGGGCUCAACCUGGGAAUUGCAGUGGAUACUGGGUCACUAGAGUGUGGUAGAGGAUAGUGGAAUUUCCGGUGUAGCAGUGAAAUGCGUAGAGAUCGGAAGGAACAUCUGUGGCGAAGGCGACUAUCUGGGCCAACACUGACACUGAGGCACGAAAGCGUGGGGAGCAAACAGGAUUAGAUACCCCCGUAGUCCCUGUCUCUUAUAC